rnacentral:rRNA from 1 species
GAUGAACGCUGGCGGCGUGCCUAAUACAUGCAAGUCGAGCGAACAGAUGAGGAGCUUGCUCCUCUGACGUUAGCGGCGGACGGGUGAGUAACACGUGGAUAACCUACCUAUAAGACUGGGAUAACUUCGGGACACCGGAGCUAAUACCGGAUAAUCUCUUGAACCGCAUGGGUCAAUAGUGAAAGACGGUUUUGCUGUCACUUAUAGAUGGAUACGCGCCGCAUUAGCUAGUUGGUAAGGUAACGGCUUAUCAAGGCAACGAUGCGUAGCCGACCGGAGAGAGUGAUCGGCCACACUGGAAGUGAGACACGGUCCAGACUACUACGGGAGGCAGCAGUAGGGAAUCUUCCGCAGUGGGCGAAAGCCUGACGGAGCAACGCCGCGUGAGUGAUGAAGGUCUUCGGAUCGUAAAACUCUGUUAUUAGGGAAGAACAAAUGUGUAAGUAACUAUGCACGUCUUGACGGUACCUAAUCAGAAAGCCACGGCUAACUACGUG